rnacentral:rRNA from 1 species
UACGGGAGGCAGCAGUGGGGAAUAUUGCACAAUGGGGGAAACCCUGAUGCAGCCAUGCCGCGUGUGUGAAGAAGGCCUUCGGGUUGUAAAGCACUUUCAGCGAGGAGGAAAGGGUGUAAGUUAAUACCUUACAUCUGUGACGUUACUCGCAGAAGAAGCACCGGCUAACUCCGUGCCAGCAGCCGCGGUAAUACGGAGGGUGCGAGCGUUAAUCGGAAUUACUGGGCGUAAAGCGUGCGCAGGCGGUUUGUUAAGCGAGAUGUGAAAGCCCCGGGCUCAACCUGGGAACCGCAUUUCGAACUGGCAAACUAGAGUCUUGUAGAGGGGGGUAGAAUUCCAGGUGUAGCGGUGAAAUGCGUAGAGAUCUGGAGGAAUACCGGUGGCGAAGGCGGCCCCCUGGACAAAGACUGACGCUCAGGCACGAAAGCGUGGGGAGCAAACAGGAUUAGAUACCCUGGUAGUCCACGCCGUAAACGAUGUCUACUCGGAGUUUGGUGUCUUGAACACUGGGCUCUCAAGCUAACGCAUUAAGUAGACCGCCUGGGGAGUACGGCCGCAAGGUUAAAACUCAAAUGAAUUGACGGGGGCCCGCACAAGCGGUGGAGCAUGUGGUUUAAUUCGAUGCAACGCGAAGAACCUUACCUACUCUUGACAUCCACAGA